rnacentral:rRNA from 1 species
AUUGAACGCUGGCGGCAGGCCUAACACAUGCAAGUCGAGCGGAUGAAGGGAGCUUGCUCCUGGAUUCAGCGGCGGACGGGUGAGUAAUGCCUAGGAAUCUGCCUGGUAGUGGGGGAUAACGUCCGGAAACGGACGCUAAUACCGCAUACGUCCUGAGGGAGAAAGUGGGGGAUCUUCGGACCUCACGCUCUCAGAUGAGCCUAGGUCGGAUUAGCUAGUUGGUGGGGUAAAGGCCUACCAAGGCGACGAUCCGUAACUGGUCUGAGAGGAUGAUCAGUCACACUGGAACUGAGACACGGUCCAGACUCCUACGGGAGGCAGCAGUGGGGAAUAUUGGACAAUGGGCGAAAGCCUGAUCCAGCCAUGCCGCGUGUGUGAAGAAGGUCUUCGGAGUGUAAAGCACUUUAAGGUGGGAGGAAGGGCAGUAAGUUAAUACCUUGCUGUUUUGACGGUACCAACAGAAUAAGCACCGGCUAACUUCGUG